GAACAUGAGUUUGAACCUAAUUUCGAAGCUGAAGGCUGGAACUUUCGACGGGUUGGACAACCUGGAAGUGCUUGACUUGACAGGAAACAAUGUCCAUGACGUAGACGUAAAUGUCUUCGUGAGACUUCUCAACCUGCGAGAUCUGAAAACUAAUCAGUACAAAUUGUGCUGUUUGGCGCCCCUG